GUUGGUUGGCAGAACGACCGUUGAUUUUCUGAAGAUUCUUCGCCUGUCUAAUGAAAAAAAAAAUCCAUGCGGUAUUUCAGCCUGGUAUAGCUUCCCUUGUGUCAAUACUGACUGCAUGGACGUUUGCCGCCGUUGUUGCAAGUCUCAUCAUACUUGGGUUGUCUGGUGCAACAAAGAAGGAACAAGUGAAAAACAAUUCAGGAGUCCAACCAGCAGGUCAAUGUGGAACCUGGGUCAAAGAACCAGAAGGAGGCCUAUUCACUUCUCCAAAUUACCCCAACAAAUACCCACCAGAGCGAGAGUGCAUUUACAUUCUUGAAGCUCCACCAAGACAGUGUAUUGAUCUCUACUUUGAUGAAACGUAUUCAAUAGAACCUUCAUGGGAAUGCAAAUUUGACCAUAUUGAAGUUCGGGAUGGGCCAUUUGGCUUCUCUCCAAUAAUUGGACGCUACUGUGGCCAACAAAGUCCACCCUACAUCAGAUCCAGUGGCAGAUACCUUUGGAUAAAAUUUGUCGCUGAUGGAGAAUUGGAAGCUAUAGGAUUUUCCGCAAGAUAUAACUUCACUGCAGAUCCUGACUUUAAAGACCUUGGAGUCCCAAAACCUCUGCCCGUUUGUGAAUUUGAAAUGGGAGGACCUGAAGGGUUUGUCGAAUCUCAGCAAAUCACCAAAGAUGGCAAAGCCUUACAAACGGAAGCAGUGGACUGCAAGUGGUACAUCCGAGCCCCUCCACGGUCCAAGAUCUACUUGCGGUUCCUGGACUACGAGAUGCAGAACUCGAACGAGUGCAAGCGCAACUUCGUGGCGGUGUACGACGGGAGCAGCUCGGUGGAGGACCUGAAGAGCAAGUUCUGCAGCACGGUGGCUAAUGACGUGAUGCUGGUCACGGCGCUGGGGGUAAUCCGUAUGUGGGCAGACGAGAGCAGCCGCAAGAGCCGAUUCCGGAUCCUCUUCACCACUUUCCAAGAGCCCCCGUGUGAUGCCGAUGCGUUCUUCUGCCACAGUAACAUGUGCAUCAACAACACUCUGGUGUGUAACGGGGUGCAAAACUGCGUCUAUCCGUGGGAUGAGAACCACUGCAAAGAGAAAAGGAAAGCAAACAUUUUGGACAACCUCAACAACACCAAUGGAACAAUAAUCGGGGUCACCUGUUGCAUUGUGAUUAUCCUUCUCAUUGUGUCCGUUAUAGUUCAAAUCAAACAGCCGCGCAAAAAGUACAUAAUCAGGAGAGAGGACUUUGACCCCACCAUGUUCCAGGAGGUCUUCGAGCCCCCCCACUAUGAACUGUGCACCCUGCGCAGCGCGGCCGCCUCUGCCGAUCUGGCGAACCUGGCCGACGACUUCGAGAACUACCACAAACUGAGGCGGUCCUCCUCCCGGUGCAUUCACGACCACCACUGUGGAUCCCAGAUCUCCAGCCUCAAGGGCAGCCGUAGCAACCUCAGCACGCGGGAAGCCGCCAUCCUGACGGACAUUCAGCCCCAGCCAGUCAGGCCCCUGAUCCCGCCCACCAACCGGAGGAGCAUCCUGGUGAUGAAGCACAGCUACUCGCAGGACGCCGCCGAUGGGUGCGACCUGGACGAGGACCUGGAAGAGGUGCCCACCACCAGUCACAGGCUCUCCCGCCAUGAGAAAGCAGUGCAGCGGCAGAUACAUCAAUCCUCUGCAUCUUGCCAAGAGGACUAAAGCUGCUACCCACGGGUGAUGACUCUCCAAUCAAGAUUUUCCUGCACCAUGGUGACACAAGUUUACUCUUUUAUAUGAAUGACUCCUUUAAAAUUGUACUGUCUAAUGUAUUUUAGAGCAUCAGAAUUGUGUUGUAACUUGAGGACCAAAUUACCUAACAGACAAGUUGAAGUUUGAGGAAAAAUAUUUUUUAUAAACUGCAAGCUUUAAUAAAAAUGUAUAUCAAGCAAUUCUGCCAGAUAAGAAGUAGAGGUACUGCAUGUCAUGGCUAGUUGUUAGAAUGUGAUUUGGGAAAAAUUAUAAUAUCCAGUGGCAAAACAUUUGAAUAUUACUUUUAUAUUCAAGUAUUGAAAAGAUUCAUCAUAUUUAUGUGAUCCCUAGUCAUGUUAUGGCCACUGUAGCAAAACUGUCACAAGCGUUGCCAGAUUUUAAAAAGGUGAUCUUGCCCAAAGCCAUUUUUCCCCUGCACAAUAACAAAAAAAAAGUAGCCCAAUGGCAACAGACUGUCACCCAAGAUCAAGUUUUUAUUUACAAUGUUUUGUUUUGUUUAGCUGCCAAAUCAAAUGUAAGUAUAUCACACACACACUUAAUAAUGUAAUGUAACGUGGCUCCUUUGACUCUCUUUUGCUAUCUUCUUUCUUUUUGAAUUUCUUUUUGUAGUAGUGUUAUAUGUGUAUGUGUAAGCUGUGUAGUGGUAUUUUAAUAUGGCUUCUGUUCAGUCUUGGUGAUAUUGCACUUCUGUAUUCCUGGGACUAACACUGAUGUUCUCCACUUAAAUCACUCUGGAUGAGCAUCUGCCAAGUGAAUCAAAUGUAGCUUUGUUUAAUUUUGUUCAAGGGAACGCAUUAACUGCCUCAUGAAAUUUUCGUUAAAUGCAGCAGAUUCUAAUUCACAAUUUAAACAACAUAUUAUUUAUUUUUAUUUUUUGGUUACCCAUGCAGGUAUCGUAAAACAGACAAGUCUAGAGGCUAGUAAGCAGAGGAGAUUCCGGCGGGUUUUGAUCGGAGGAGCCGUAAGUUCACGCAAUGGACUGUGGAGACUAGAGUUGCUCGACUCUUCCAAUUUCUGUGAAUUUACCAGGUUGUUUUGCUGAAUAAACUCUAACUCCCAUAACCCCAUACUCUUAAAUUGGUCGUCGCCGUGACGGGAAACGCAGGACAUCUCGCGAUUUGUGUACAGUUAAGGAAGACGGAAAAUACAAUAUACAUUGCAGUUUCACAAUUUUAUCUUGUUUGUCGUGGCAGUUGGCUAGUUAGCAUUAUUCUUGUGGUAGAAAGUAUUAUCAUGUGUUCGCUUGUGUUUAAAUUAGCUCAGCAGGCGAAAUCAACACUGUACGUUUUACAAAUAUUCAGGCAUGCUCAUUUCAACCCCGUCCGCCUGCAAAAUAACGUAUGCACAGCGGUUGCUACAGCUCGCUCGCACCACAUGCUAGAGCAUUCAGAUUUUGUUAGAGUACACAACGCGAAACGAAGUAUAACAGUCGAUGUCAGGUUAAGAAAUGUAAGAAAUAACAGUGGGAAAGAAAGGGGCCAAGUAUCCGUAUCGAGAAGCCCGAGUGACGUGACAGGACUUUCUGCUGCUCAGAAAGUUAAGCAAGCAGGCAAAGAUUUUACCUAUUUAAUCGUUGUGCUCGUCGGGCUUGGAGUAACAGGAGGCUUGCUGUAUAUUCUCUUCAAAGAGUUGCUGUCAUCUUCAAGUCCAAAUAAAAUCUAUGGGAAAGCUUUGGAUAAAUGUAGAACACACCCAGAGGUCAUUGGCGCUUUUGGGGAGCCAAUCAAGGGCUAUGGUGAGACUUCUCGUCGUGGAAGAAGGCAACAGAUCAGGUGGGACACAUGUCAGGAUGUGAAAGACACCAAACCUGUACAUACUCAUCUGAUCCUCACUGUAGUCUCUUGUCUUCAGCCAUAUAGAGUUCUUGAGGGAUGGUGUUAAGCAUAUGAGGCUUAAGUUUUACAUUGAGGGCGCAGAACCUCGGCUGCAAGGGACUGUACACACAGAAGUGAGAGAGAACCCUGAAACAGGAAAGUAUGAAUUCCGCUACGUGUUUGUGGACAUGGAUACGUACCCAAGAAGAACCAUUGUCGUUGAAGAUAACAGAUAAUAUUUGUGAGAGUGGGGCUUCCAAUGAAGCAGAUUUUUCAAAUGGAUUAGACACGUUUUAGUUCUGGGUCUUUUUACUGAAUAACUCUCCUUGUGAAGGGCAGGAAGAGUGGUUCUGGAUGUAUUUGUAUGGACCCCUCGGACAGUUUCUUCUGAAGCCAUUGCUGGUAAUGGAAGAAUAAUGAAAUGGCAUGGAUUGGAAGUCAGGCUGCAUUAAAGUGAGCAUUAAAGAGACUGGAGCAUGUGUGGAUUAUUAAUUUUAUGGACCUGAUAGAAAUGUGUGUAUAAACAGGGUGAAAACAACAAGUUGCUGAAACAACAGCUUUAAUGAUUGUUAACAAGACAAAUUGUGCCAACAAAGCUUGGCACUGUUAGUAAUGAUUUGCUUCAUAAACAAUGGAAUUGCUCUGGGAAAAAAUGUAUUUGAUGUUCUCUUUGAUGUCUGUGACGCCUAUUGAAUUGUAAUGACUCUCUGAUGGUUGAAGUUAUCUUGAUGAAAGGCUACAUUGGGUAAUGAAGUGCUAUUUAGUAAUGUUGUAAACCUUUGAACACUGAAUAAAUGCAUGAAGCAGG